UGGAUAUCUUGUUCCAGAUGAUGUCUACAAGGUUAUAGUACUGUUUACUAUGAUUGUUAGGUAGUUUUGAUCAGAAGAGGAGUGGAAGAUUCAGACUGGAUGGCUUCAUAUCACUCUGUAUAUUUGUACAGUCUGCGCGAAUGCUGAACUGAGUGCUCAUGUGGCUAAGCGGUAAAAAGGAAGGAAUCUGCUGUCCUGUGUUAGGCAUGUAUGUCGUUGGAUUAUGAGUGCAGUUUCGUUGGAUGUUUUUUAGUUAAUGUGUAUUAUGUAAUUGUAGUUGUUGGAGGACUCAAGCACAGAAAUUAUGUAAUAGCUAGGUUGUUACUAUUGUUUAUCGCUUCAAGCUUUGAUAAUGGACUUAUCAAGCUUUAAUAAUGAAUGUACUUCGGUUA